UUGAACGCUGGCGGCAGGCCUAACACAUGCAAGUCGAGCGGUAACAGGAAUUAGCUUGCUAAUUUGCUGACGAGCGGCGGACGGGUGAGUAAUGCCUGGGAAUAUGCCUUAGUGUGGGGGAUAACUAUUGGAAACGAUAGCUAAUACCGCAUAACGUCUUCGGACCAAAGAGGGGGACCUUCGGGCCUCUCGCGCUAAGAUUAGCCCAGGUGGGAUUAGCUAGUUGGUGAGGUAAAGGCUCACCAAGGCAACGAUCCCUAGCUGGUCUGAGAGGAUGAUCAGCCACACUGGAACUGAGACACGGUCCAGACUCCUACGGGAGGCAGCAGUGGGGAAUAUUGCACAAUGGGGGAAACCCUGAUGCAGCCAUGCCGCGUGUAUGAAGAAGGCCUUCGGGUUGUAAAGUACUUUCAGUCGUGAGGAAGGCAUUGUAGUUAAUAACUGCAGUGCUUGACGUUAGCGACAGAAGAAGCACCGGCUAACUCCGUG
rnacentral:rRNA from 1 species